UACGAAGGGGGCUAGCGUUGCUCGGAAUCGACUGGCGUAAAGCGCACGUAGGCGGAUUGUUAAGUCAGGGGUGAAAUCCUGGAGCUCAACUCCAGAACUGCCUUUGAUACUGGCGAUCUUGAGUCCGGGAGAGGUGAGUGGAACUGCGAGUGUAGAGGUGAAAUUCGUAGAUAUUCGCAAGAACACCAGUGGCGAAGGCGGCUCACUGGCCCGGUACUGACGCUGAGGUGCGAAAGCGUGGGGAGCAAACAGGG
rnacentral:rRNA from 1 species